GACGUAGGGCGCAAGCGUUGUCCGGAUUUAUUGGGCGUAAAGAGCUCGUAGGCGGUUCGUCGCGUCGGCUGUGAAAACCCGGAGCUCAACUCCGGGCCUGCAGUCGAUACGGGCGGACUUGAGUGUUGCAGGGGAGACUGGAAUUCCUGGUGUAGCGGUGAAAUGCGCAGAUAUCAGGAGGAACACCGGUGGCGAAGGCGGGUCUCUGGGCAGUAACUGACGCUGAGGAGCGAAAGCGUGGGGAGCGAACAGG
rnacentral:rRNA from 1 species